ensembl:snoRNA SNORD97 small nucleolar RNA, C/D box 97
UUGCCCGAUGAUUAUAAAAAGAUGCGUUAUUAAGAGGACUUUAUGCUGGAGUUCUUGACGUUUUUCUCUCUUUUCUAUACUUCUUUUUCUUUCUUUGAAUGUCCAGCGUCCUGUGAGCGAAGAUUAUGAGAUAUGAGGGCAA